UAUCCAUGAUGAGGGCAUGCAUUAAAAAGGUUUUUGAAUCUUUCCCACCAAUGAAAAAAUGUUUCUACAUUGUUUUGGCAAAAAAUCAUGAUUUGUUUUUUUAAGGCA